GGAGGGGGCUAGCGUUGUUCGGAAUUACUGGGCGUAAAGCGUACGUAGGCGGAUCAGAAAGUAUGGGGUGAAAUCCCAGGGCUUAACCCUGGAACUGCCAUCUAAACUCCUGGUCUUGAGUUCGAGAGAGGUAAGUGGAAUUCCAAGUGUAGAGGUGAAAUUCGUAGAUAUUUGGAGGAACACCAGUGGCGAAGGCGGCUUACUGGCUCGAUACUGACGCUGAGGUACGAAAGUGUGGGGAGCAAACAGGAUUAGAUACCCUGGUAGUCCACACCGUAAACGAUG
rnacentral:rRNA from 1 species